rnacentral:rRNA from 1 species
AUUGAACGCUGGCGGCAGGCCUAACACAUGCAAGUCGAACGAGUGGCGGACGGGUGAGUACUGUCUGGGCAACUGCCCGAUGGAGGGGGAUAACUACUGGAAACGGUAGCUAAUACCGCAUACUAUCAGAUGGGCCCAGAUGGGAUUAGCUAGUUGGUGGGGUAACGGCUCACCAAGGCGACGAUCCCUAGCUGGUCUGAGAGGAUGACCAGCAAAACGGGAACUGAGACACGGUCCAGACUCCUACGGGAGGCAGCAGUGGGGAAUAUUGCACAAUGGGCGCAAGCCUGAUGCAGCCAUGCCGCGUGUAUGAAGAAGGCCUUCGGGUUGUAAAGUACUUUCAGCGGGGAGGCGUUACCCGCAGAAGAAGCACCGGCUAACUCCGUGCCAGCAGCCGCGGUAAUUC